UGGAGGAGAAGGAGGGGAUCCCCCCCCAGCAGCAGCGCCUCAUCUACAGCGGGAAGCAGAUGAACGACGAGAAGACGGCCGCUGACUACAAGAUCCAGGGGGGCUCCGUCCUCCAUCUUGUCCUGGCGCUGCGGGGGGGGCGGAGCCCCCUUAGCCCCGCCCCC